rnacentral:rRNA from 1 species
AUGGUUCUCCAUGACCAAGACAAAAGGAACUACUAUCUGCUGCCUGACGAAGAGGACCCGGAAAGACCUGUCAAAAACUCUAUUGGAAAAGUGAUGUUUCUCACAGCAGUAGCAAGAUCAAAAUCUGAUGACGAUGGGAACAUGACAUUCUUUGGAAAAAUUGGGGUAUGGCCAUUCAUGAGAGUGUCUGGAACAGCAAAAAGAAGCAAGAACAGGGAAAAAGGGACAUUGGAAACAAAGCCUGUCAUAGUUACAAGGGAUGUGAUGAGAGAGUACAUUAUACAGAAGGUUAUGCCACCGAUUCAAGCAUUGUGUCCUACAGAUGAUGAUGGACAACCUAUUUUUAUCCAACAAGAUAGCGCGAGAAUACAUAUCCUACCUAAUGAUCAAGCAUUCGCAGAAGAUGUGGACGAAAGUGGCCUGGACAUUAGAAUAAUGUAUCGGCCUCCAAAUUCUCUGGACAUGAAUGCCCUGGACCUUGGGUUCUUCAGAUUGAUUCAGUCGCCAACAGACUGCAAAAGUACGUAA